rnacentral:lncRNA from 10 species
ACAUUGAAGAGGUAGCUGUACUCCCAUGCUCAGUGCAGCACUAUUCACAGUAGCCACAAUAUGGAAUCAACCUAAGUGUGUGUCCACUGAAGAAUGAAUGGAUAAAGAAAAUGUGAUAUAUCUCUCUCUCAAAAAGACAAAUACUACAUGAUCUCACUUAUAGGUGGAAUCUACAAAUACCGAACUCAUAGAAACAGAGAGUAGAAUGAUAGUUGCCAGGGGAUCUAGGAAGGAGAGAGAAUGGGAAGAUGUUGGUCAAAGGUUACAGUUUCACUUGGACAGCAUGAGUAACUUUUGGAAAUCUACUGUACACCAUGGUUUACACAAUGCUGGGCAUGGAUAAUUUAGGGAGACCUGAAACUCAGAGCU